rnacentral:rRNA from 1 species
AUUGAACGCUGGCGGCAUGCCUUACACAUGCAAGUCGAAUGGCAGCACGGGAGCAAUCCUGGUGGCGAGUGGCGAACGGGUGAGUAAUAUAUCGGAACGUGCCCAGUCGUGGGGGAUAACGUAGCGAAAGCUACGCUAAUACCGCAUACGAUCUAUGGAUGAAAGCGGGGGAUCGCAAGACCUCGCGCGAUUGGAGCGGCCGAUAUCAGAUUAGGUAGUUGGUGAGGUAAAGGCUCACCAAGCCGACGAUCUGUAGCUGGUCUGAGAGGACGACCAGCCACACUGGGACUGAGACACGGCCCAGACUCCUACGGGAGGCAGCAGUGGGGAAUUUUUGGACAAUGGGCGCAAGCCUGAUCCAGCAAUGCCGCGUGCAGGAUGAAGGCCU